AAGGGCCUCGCCAAAAAUCUGAAUCAGACAAAAUCUUUAUCGGCAAACCAUAGUUUUUGUUCGAAGUGAGUCGACGAACUGUAGAGAUAACAAAUCAACUCCCCGCAGAUAAUUGUCGCACACCAAGGCGCCAUAUGCGUGUUGAGAAAAUAAACAAAUAAACCGAAAGGGCCUUGUUUCAUUUCAACAGCAAAGCACUAGCCACAAGUGUAAGUAAUCUAGUUUUCCAUGAAUAAGUCGCAAUAAGCAUAAAUAGUUUCGGAUAGGCAUUUUUAAACAAUCAGGUUCGGGUCUAAGAAGCACAGUUCCUAUUGACAAGUAACUUUAGGCGGGACAUUCGGGUACUGUUUGUUCUGCCAGCAGCCUUGGUAUAAAGUAUAAAAAUCGGACUCGUCUCGCAGUACUGUUUCCAGUUCGAUUCCAUGCAAUGGCCGCCGCAUCAGCUGUCGAUUGGCGAAUUCGGGCCGGAAAACAAUGCUGAAAACGAUGGUGGGAAUGGGAAUGGAGGUGAAGGAGCAGGUGGAGGCGAAGGUGGAGACAACCAGACCAGACCAAGCCAAGGCAGAGGCAGAGACAGAAAGGCUUCGGCAAUUAUUUUCGUUCCUCUUUGGUAUGGGCCACUCACACAUACAUACAUAUAUACAUAAUUUGCAUUGCGGAUAAGAUGGUGUGGGUGCGAAACCAGAAUGACUGGCAACAGGAUACGAGGAUGGAGGAGGGGGAAGCGCAAGUAAGGUAGAGAGGGCAACUGUAAAAGGACACGAGAUGUGGCUGCACUUGCCUCACGAUCAAUUAUGCAGGUAGUUGUGCUCCGAGGACAAGGUGCAAAAAAAUGGAGUACAGUAAAUAAUGCAUUAUAGGAAAAAAAAUACUUCGAAGGAAUAGUUUGUCUAAAUUAUGAUUGGAACAAGGCGAAAAGCAAAGAGAAUCACAUCCAAAUUCUACCAGCCCUAAUCCAUUUUGAACAAUUCCCUUGGAAUAACUGUUUUCUGCAUUAUUCUGGAACGAUAGUCACUGGGUUGCCUCUGGCGUUCUAAGGAUGUGGUGGGGCAUUCCCAACUUCGUCCAAGAAGAGCAUGUUCGAUAUACUCUUUUAUCGGAACCAGAAUUACCUCGAACAUUGUGUCCUGUGAAAGCAAGUUACCAUAUACGGAAUGCUGUGUUUAAUUUAAACUUGGAUUUAGACGGCCAAUUUUGUGGUGGCUGCUGCUGGUUUACCUGGCCUGCGCAUGUAACUUUAUCAGCUGACCCGACGGACGCUUACCAACACUGGCUAGCCAUUUACAACAAACACCCACAGAGCUCCCGCUCCGCUCCCAAUGGCGAACGGAAACUUUAUAACAAUGCAACCUUGGACACAUGAAAAAGCUUGCUGCUUACACCAUUUAUUUACCUAAAUUAAUGUUAGAUGAUACUGCCGCUUCUUGCACUGCCACUUCCACGGUUGACGCUUUUCGCUUUCCACUCGCUUCCAAUCGAUAUCCAGCAACAACAACAUACACUGAUCGGAUCUUUCUCACCGCAUCUAACAUUCCAAGGCGGAGGAGUAGCGGCAAUGGAGUCCUGCUAUUCCAAUUUGCGCGUUCGCUCGCACUCACUCACUGGAAAGUGGGGGAGCGGGAACGUUUACGGGAACGGAAGCGGGAACGGAGCGUGCUCUUUGGGAGAACGUGAGUGAGACGGCGAACUAAAGAGAGAGGGAGUUCCGAAGGAUGUUGAUGCCUGGCGGAGGCGAAAACUUUUCUGCGCCGCGUUUUUCACUUCCACUAUCAAUGCCACACUUAUGCAAAUAUCGAACACUGCCCCAAGCGCCAAUGAAUAUUGUUUUUUCGAAGGGUUUUCCUUUUGUAUUUUGUAUUUUAUUUGUAAGUAAAUAAUUGCUCGCUAUUG
rnacentral:misc_RNA from 1 species